rnacentral:rRNA from 1 species
GCCUCUGUUACUGGUUCCUUCAAGCAGUGGCAUCAUCGACUUGGUCAUCUGUGUGGUUCUCGGUUAUCGUCUUUAGUUCGUCGAGGUCUUCUGGGGUCUGUCUCAGGAGAUGUCUCUUUAGAGUGUCAGGGUUGUCGUCUUGGCAAGCAGAUUCAGUUACCAUAUUCCCAUAGUGAGUCAGUGUCUAAGCGUCCUUUCGAUUUAGUCCAUUCUGAUGUAUGGGGUCCGGCUCCUUUCGCUUCGAAAGGUGGUCAUAAAUACUAUAUUAUUUUCAUCGAUGAUUUUUCUCGUUACACAUGGCUUUAUUUCAUGACUUCACGUAGUGAGGUGUUGUCUAUUUAUAAGCGUUUUGCUGCCAUGGUUCAUACUCAGUUCUCUUCACCCAUUCGUGUUUUUCGUGCUGACUCCGCUGGUGAGUAUAUCUCUAAGAUGUUG